AUUGAACGCUGGCGGCAGGCUUAACACAUGCAAGUCGAGCGGGGUGAUGGUGCUUGCACUAUCACUUAGCGGCGGACGGGUGAGUAAUGCUUAGGAAUCUGCCUAUUAGUGGGGGACAACAUCUCGAAAGGGAUGCUAAUACCGCAUACGUCCUACGGGAGAAAGCAGGGGAUCACUUGUGACCUUGCGCUAAUAGAUGAGCCUAAGUCGGAUUAGCUAGUUGGUGGGGUAAAGGCCUACCAAGGCGACGAUCUGUAGCGGGUCUGAGAGGAUGAGCCGCACCACUGGGACUGAGACACGGCCCAAACUCCUACGGGAGGCAGCAGUGGGGAAUAUUGGACAAUGGGGGGAACCCUGAUCCAGCCAUGCCGCGUGUGUGAAGAAGGCCUUAUGGUUGUAAAGCACUUUAAGCGAGGAGGAGGCUCUUUUGGUUAAUACCCAAGAUGAGUGGACGUUACUCGCAGAAUAAGCACCGGCUAACUCUGUGCCAGCCGCCGCAGUAA
rnacentral:rRNA from 1 species